ACCAAGAAGCGGGGGUACCGCGGCCUCGUGGCCACGGUUGAGAUAGUCCCUUGGAACCUGAUCCGGCUCAUACCGGCGUAGGGAAGCUUUGCAAUGCAGCCG
rfam:Bacterium AM6 strain AM6 2017-02-03-Sterotrophomonas_trimmed_contig_83, whole genome shotgun sequence.